rnacentral:rRNA from 1 species
GGCGAACGCUGGCGGCGUGCUUAACACAUGCAAGUCGAACGGAAAGGCCCUGCUUUUGUGGGGUGCUCGAGUGGCGAACGGGUGAGUAGCACGUGAGUAACCUGCCCUUGACUUUGGGAUAACUUCAGGAAACUGGGGCUAAUACCGGAUAGGAGCUCCUGCUGCAUGGUGGGGGUUGGAAAGUUUCGGCGGUUGGGGAUGGACUCGCGGCUUAUCAGCUUGUUGGUGGGGUAGUGGCUUACCAAGGCUUUGACGGGUAGCCGGCCUGAGAGGGUGACCGGCCACAUUGGGACUGAGAUGCGGCCCAGACUCCUACGGGAGGCAGCAGUGGGGAAUAUUGCACAAUGGGCGGAAGCCUGAUGCAGCAACGCCGCGUGCGGGAUGACGGCCUUCGGGUUGUAAACCGCUUUCGCCUGUGACGAAGCGUGAGUGACGGUAAUGGGUAAAGAAGCACCGGCUAACUACGUG